CUACAGUCUAUAUUUCAAUUUCACCAAUUGUCCCAGUAAUGUCCUUUUUUAGGGUAAUUUUUCCUGUAGUCCAGGAUCCAAUCCAGGGUCACUCAUUAUGUAGAAUUUGACUUAGUUAAGAUUUGCAAGGGAUUUCCUCAUGGUUUGGUUGAGGUUAUACAUUCUUGGCAGGAAUUAACUAUGGAAAUAACGUGUCCUUCUUAGUGCAUUGUAUGAAGAGGCACAUUAUAUCAGUUUGUACCAGGAGUGGAAGUGUUAACUCUGAUGACUUAGUUUGGUGGUGUCCCCCUAGGUUCUCCAGUAUAAAGUUGCUAUUUUUCCCUUUACAAUUAAUAAGAAAUUUGUGGGGAAUUAAUUUCAGACUAUGUAAACAUCCUGUUCCUCAUCAACUUUUGAUUCAUAGGCUUUAGUAUCUGCUGAUGAAUAUAGCAGUUGCAAAAUGAUGGUAUUUCCAGCUCCAUCACCUGCAUAAUAACACGUCUUCAAUUCUUUUUCACUUAAUAAUAUAUCAUAACCUUUUUUGCAUGUUGCUACUUAAUUAUUCUUGAAAUGGUUAUAUACCAUUAUUCACUUAACCAUUUCCCUAUUGUUACUCAGAUUGUUUUCUUUUUUAAAAAUUAAAUUUAUUAAAGUAACAUUGGUUAAUAACAUUACAUAAAUUUCAAGUGUACAACAUUAUGUUUUCUGUUUUGCAAGAUGAAUAACACUACAGUCAACAAUUUCUUGUAUAGAACUUUUCCCCUCCUGUUAGAUUAUUUCCUUAAGCUCAGUAUCCAUGAAAAAUAUUGCUGGAUUAGAGGGUUUCUUCUCGUUGAAAAGCUUAGGCUAACAUUAAACAACAACCACCACACAACAAAAAAUAAACUCCCUACAAAAACAAAAUCAACCUCACAGAUGAUUUCUGCUUUGAGUGUCCUCAUCCUGCCCUUCCUGGUUCUAAAAUCAGAAUGAAUUAGAAUCGGCCUUGUUGCAGACCCUGGUCUUUGACUCAUUAUCACAUGGACCGGAGGAGAAUGAUAUACUGAGUGAUUGGUGACCAUUAGUGGGCAAGGAUGUGUUGUGUUUCAAAUAUGUGGAGAGGAAUUUCCUAAAUGACUACUGGGGACUGUAGUUGGUAAAAAUAAAGUUUAUUUAUUUGUUCAUCCUCACCCAAGGAUAUUUUCUCCAUUGAUUUUUAGAGAGAGUAAAAGGGAGAAAGAGAGGGAGAGAAGAUGAGAGGGAGGGAGGGAGCGAGGAAGGGAGGGAGAGAGAGAAAGAAACAUUGAUGUGAGAGAGGCACAUCGAUUGGUUGCCUCCCACUCUCACCCCAACUGAGGCUGGGGAGUGAACUUGCAACUGAGAUAUGUGCUCUUGACUGGGAAUGGAACCCUGAAUCCCGUCCACGGGCCAACACUAACCACUAAGCAAACUGUCCAGUGCAGUCUUUUUUUUUUUUU